UACGGGGGGGGCAAGCGUUGUUCGGAUUUACUGGGCGUAAAGAGCUCGUAGGCGGCCUGCUUAGUCGGACGUGAAAUCCCUUGGCUCAACUGAGGAACUGCGUCCGAUACUGGCAGGCUUGAAUCCGGGAGAGGGAUGCGGAAUUCCAGGUGUAGCGGUGAAAUGCGUAGAUAUCUGGAGGAACACCGGUGGCGAAGGCGGCAUCCUGGACCGGCAUUGACGCUGAGGAGCGAAAGCCAGGGUAGCAAACGGG
rnacentral:misc_RNA from 1 species